rnacentral:lncRNA from 1 species
UUUUUCUGUUAAGUUGAUCUUUGUAGUUGAGAGACAUAGAAGGAAUUCAUGAUGCUUCUGUCCACUUCCUGUUUGAGAAUUUCUUAUUCCAAAAAUGCCUAAUUUUGUUAGUGGAAAGAAGAGAGCUACCGAGUUGAACAUGUGUUUCUCCAACGCUCUCGAGCAGGGUGCUCCACCUCACUCAAAAGGGGGUUCCUGCUUAACUCUAAAGUUCGUUGAUGGUAUCCAUAGUCCUAUCUUGCCUGGAUUGCCCGAUGAUGUGGCAAUGUACUGUCUUGCACUUGUUCCUCGAACUAAUUUUCCUGCUAUGGGUGUUGUUUGCAAAAGAUGGAGGUCUUUUAUCCAAAGUAAGGAAUUUAUCCGGGUUAGAAAACUAGUUGGCAUGCUCGAGGAGUGGCUUUAUGUCCUAACUGUUGACUCUCAAGGAAAUGGGAGCCACUGGAGGUUAUAGACUGUUUGGGACAGAAACACAAUGAAUUCCCCCAAUGCCUGGUUGUGAGAAAGUUGGUUUUGGCGUGGUAGUUCUCAAUGGAAAGCUUCUCGUAAUUGCUGGUUAUGCCAUGAUUG